rnacentral:tRNA from 1 species
CCAGCGGCUGUUUCGUACGUUAGGCAAGUUCCGCUUUGAAAGCGGCAAACAGGGGUGGGUGCGAAUUUCAUCCGAUGGC